CCUGGCUAUUGGGGUGAUGUUUCUUUUAGAAAUUCUAUUCCACAGCGCCGUCCAUUUUGGUUUCCUAGAUCCUUUGGCUCAUCAUGGCCUUUUAGACACUUUGGCUCAAGAGAUCACUUUAGAUCUGAAAAGCUG